rnacentral:misc_RNA from 1 species
GGGAAAGCAUACACAGGGUGGGAUAUUGGACUAAGGAAAGUGAGAAUAGUGAAGGAUUUGUCACCAUGCAAUUUCCUUAGCAACUUAAGUGAAAUCCCAGCUUCACUAUCAAUAAUUGAGUGCCACCAAGAUGAGGUAUGGGAAGUUCCAUUAGGAGCUGAAGUAAUUGCUUUCUCAGAUAAAACAGGAGUGGAAAUGUUCACCAUUGGAGACCAUGUAUUGGGCAUUCAAGGCCAUCCAGAGUACACCAAAGACAUUCUUUAUAGCCUCAUUGAUCGCCUUCUCAACAGCAAUUCCAUAGAGGUUGAGUUUGCUGAAAAUGCCAAGCUUGGAUUGGAAAUAGCUGAACCUGACAGGAAGUGCUGGGAAAGGAUUUGCAGGAAUUUUCUCAAGCGAAGGAAGUGUAGAUAUAUAAAUCUAUAAGUCCACUUCCACAUCCUGAGUUUGGUUGUAUAUUGUUUAUUGAAGCUACUACCCAAAUUAAAAAAUUAACGCUCUAUUNGACUUUUUUGUUUCUCAGCGUUCCCAAAAGUUAAUAGAGCGUUAAUUUUUUAAUUUGGGUA